rnacentral:misc_RNA from 1 species
ACAAACUUGGUCAUUUAGAGGAAGUAAAAGUCGUAACAAGGUUUCCGUAGGUGAACCUGCGGAAGGAUCAUUACAGAAAUAAACUUGAUGGAUUGCUGCUGGCUCAAAAAAGAGUAAUUGUGCACAUCUGUCAUUUUUAUCUUUCCACCAUGUGCAUUUUGUAUAGCGGUCGAUGAUAAUUCAUCAUCAUCUUUUGGGAAUUGCAACUCACACUUGCUUUCUCCCUAUAAUAUAUGACCCUGUACGUUUUUAUCUAUAUACACCAUGUAUGUUAAAGAACGUUAAUCAAAAGGCUUUUGUUGCCUUAUAAAACAUAAAUACAACUUUCAGCAAUGGAUCUCUUGGCUCUCGCAUCGAUGAAGAACGCAGC